rnacentral:lncRNA from 1 species
UCGGCUUCCAUUCAAUGAUUAUGCGAUCGCUAGGUGCUCCUGAGUUUUUGAAAUCUGCAAAUUUCUCACCCAUUUUGUCAGCACUAGAUUGCUUCAGAUACAUUGGCCUCAGACACCAUUCCCUUGUCAUUCUAAUAUUUCUUACUGUCAGAAAUUGAGAAUGAUUAAAAAUAAGCAGAAUCAGUAAAGUGCCAUAUAUAAAUCACUGUCAUGUUUUGUGACAAAAUCUGAAAAGUAUGAGUCACAAAAAAGAACAAGAACAAACUAAAAUCUUGUAUGCUUCAGUUCUAACAUCUGAAGGAUAGCUCUCUACUACGAUGUCCUUCAAAAUUUUGACCAAAUUACCUAUGCUUAAAACUAGGAGUUAAUCUCAGAAUGUAUACUUCUCCUAUAAACAAUGUAUGUAUUCCUGGAAUGCUGUACCUUCCGUGAAACCAUGCACUACAGAUAAAAAUUGACUUAGGGACAGACCACUGAAAUGUAUGCACCGUUGUGAUAAGACCACUAACAGAAACAAAAUUUAGCAGCGAACCUGACCUGUACAGCCUAGGCUGCUUU